rnacentral:rRNA from 1 species
CUACGGGGCGCAGCAGUGGGGAAUAUUGCACAAUGGGCGCAAGCCUGAUGCAGCAACGCCGCGUGGACGAUGAAGGCCUUCGGGUUGUAAAGUUCUUUUCUUAGGGAAGAAUAAAUGACGGUACCUAAGGAAUCAGCCCCGGCUAACUACGUGCCAGCAGCCGCGGUAAUACGUAGGGGGCAAGCGUUAUCCGGAAUCACUGGGCGUAAAGGGAGUGUAGGCGGUCAAGCAAGUCAGGGGUGAAAGGCAUCGGCUCAACCGAUGUAAGCCUUUGAAACUGUUUGACUUGAGUGCAGGAGAGGUAAGUGGAAUUCCUAGUGUAGCGGUGAAAUGCGUAGAUAUUAGGAGGAACACCAGUGGCGAAGGCGACUUACUGGACUGUAACUGACGCUGAGGCUCGAAAGCGUGGGGAGCGAACAGGAUUAGAUACCCUAGUAGUC